UACGUAGGGUGCAAGCGUUGUCCGGAAUUAUUGGGCGUAAAGAGCUCGUAGGCGGUCUGUCGCGUCUGCUGUGAAAACUCAGGGCUUAACCCUGAGCUUGCAGUGGGUACGGGCAGACUAGAGUGCGGUAGGGGAGACUGGAAUUCCUGGUGUAGCGGUGAAAUGCGCAGAUAUCAGGAGGAACACCGGUGGCGAAGGCAGGUCACUGGGCCGCAACUGACGCUGAGGAGCGAAAGCAUGGGGAGCGAACAGG
rnacentral:rRNA from 1 species